rnacentral:rRNA from 1 species
GAUGAACGCUGGCGGCGUGCCUAAUACAUGCAAGUCGAGCGAACGGACGAGAAGCUUGCUUUUCUGAUGUUAGCGGCGGACGGGUGAGUAACACGUGGAUAACCUACCUAUAAGACUGGGAUAACUUCGGGAAACCGGAGCUAAUACCGGAUAAUAUUUUGAACCGCAAGGUUCAAAAGUGAAAGACGGUCUUGCUGUCACUUAUAGAUGGAUCCGCGCUGCAUUAGCUAGUUGGUAAGGUAACGGCUUACCAAGGCAACGAUGCAUAGCCGACCUGAGAGAGUGAUCAGCCACACUGGAACUGAGACACGGUCCAGACUCCUACGGGAGGCAGCAGUAGGGAAUCUUCCGCAAUGGGCGAAAGCCUGACGGAGCAACGCCGCGUGAGUGAUGAAGGUCUUCGGAUCGUAAAACUCUGUUAUUAGGGAAGAACAUAUGUGUAAGUAACUGUGCACAUCUUGACGGUACCUAAUCAGAAAGCCACGGCUAACUACGUG